rnacentral:rRNA from 1 species
UACGAGAGGCCCAAACGUUAUUCGGAAUUACUGGGCUUAAAGAGUUCGUAGGCGGCGCAGAAAGUCGGGUGUGAAAGCCCUCGGCUCAACCGAGGAAUUGCGCCCUAAACUACUGUGCUUGAGGAACCUAGAGGUGAGCGGAACUGAUGGUGGAGCGGUGAAAUGCGUUGAUAUCAUCAGGAACACCGGAGGCGAAGGCGGCUCACUGGGGGUUUUCUGACGCUGAGGAACGAAAGCCAGGGGAGCGAACAGG